AUCUCUCUCUCUGUAACUGUCUUCUCCCUGACCUUUCCUGUUUCCUCUCUUACCGGACCAGGCACACACUGUCUCUCUCUAUCAGUCUUCUCUCUGUAUCUGUCUCUCUCUCUCUCCCUGCCCCUUUCGCUCCGUAAACCUCUGUAUCUCCCUCACACUCCCUAACCCACCGAGUUGUUGUACAUAACGUCGUUACCAUGGACACCUGCCCGGAACCAGUUGUACAUUGACGGAAGUGACCGCCACUGGUUUUGCGGGCCGGGGGGGUGAGGCAAGAGAGUGACCGAGACACACACACACGCCUCCCCCCCGCCGGACAACUCACUGCCCCUCCGGGGGGAGGGAGAAGAAGGGUGUGUCGUUGCUAACAGUCAAGCUUUGGCAUGCAGUUUCUUUUUGGUGAACGAUUAAUAAAGAAGUUUAAAAUGAUGCGAUUUUAAGUCUGCCCAAUUCCAACGAGGAGAGCUAUCAGAAAUGCCAAGUUUCCACAUAGAUGAUUAUGCAGAAAGGAACACAAAGAAAGCUUAACUAACCAAGCUACCAAAGGAUGCCUGGCAUCAACGGGAUUACUGUUCACUAAGAGGCCAACAUUUUAAUGAACAGAUGAGCACAAAGCAUAAAAUAUUGAGAAGACAAAGACACAGUUCACAGACUAAUGACUCCAAUUGUCCUUCCAAUGUGCUUGAUGUUGGAAAAAAGAACUUUGAACUAUUAGAUUUAAUUCGCUCUUUGCUCCCCCAACAAAUGUGCUGCAAUGUUUGUAUGUAAGAUAAGUAAUGCUACAAUACAGAUAAGAGACACACAGUCUCCUUUACUAUGGUUAACAGGGUGGAGCUGGAGGAGCACUGUGGGCCCAGCAGCAUCACAGCAGGAAAGUUGACGUUUUAGCAGCUCUUACUAUCUCCUUUACCAUGGUGUCGCUUUCAAUUAUUAUUGAUUGCAGGAACACAAGUAGAAGCAGGAACUACUAUAAGGCCCUCUGUGCUUCGUGGUCAUUCAAUACAAUCAUGGCUGACCAUUUGCAUCAAUCCGCUUUCUCACUUUCUUCUCAUAUCCCUUGAUUAACCAAAAAUUUGCCUAUCAAAACCAUGAAUACACUCAAUGAUUGAAUGUCCACAAGCCUCUGUUGUAGAAUUCCAAAUUCCAAUUUACAAUCCUGUGCUCAAAGAAAGGUAUCACAUUUCAGUCACAUGAUUGGCCCUUCAUGCCUUCAAGCAUUGAUCUCUUGAUUCCCAUCUAAAUGAACCAAUGGUUUAAAAUUUCUAAACUGUCAAACCUUGUUACAAUCUUGUGUGUUUCAAUCAGGUAACUUCUAAUUUGACUGAAUUUCACAAGUACAGGCCAGGUUUACUCAGCCUCUUAUUGUAGGACAAUCCCAGGAACUAAUUUGCUCUGUCACCUCCAAUGUUUUCCCUCAGUUUGGAUAACAAAACGGAGCUUGGUACUCAGACUAUGGUCUCACCAAAGUACUCAUCAUCGCUCCAUUGAUUUGCCUACUUAGCGUUGGAGGUUCCUGCCAUGAGGCAUUUUGAAGCUGAACAGGCCAAUAUUCUAGAUUUUCAUAGAUGCAUUAGCUCCCUUUCAAAUGGCAGUGAGAUCUGGGGUGUAGUAUUUUCUUCCCUUCUUUCUUUCUUCAAAUAAGAUCAUCAGAUACAUACCUUUCUUUCCCUCACUCAUCAUUAAGAUGACAUGAAUCAAAAAAUGAUGCAGAUUUAUAGACAAAACACCAUUCCAAAUUCAAAGUUACAUAAAGCGCAAAUGUCAUCUGCUAAUGACUCCAAUAGUCCUUCCACAUACCUAUUGUUGGAAUAAAAGAACCUUGAACUAUUAGAUUUGAUUUGCUCUUUGCACCCCAGCACCAAAGUAAAUGUGCUGCAAUGUUCAUAUUAAAGAUAAGUAAUGUUUCAAUACAGAUAAGGGACAAUCUCCUUUACCAUGGUGUUGUUGUCAAUUAUUUUUGAUCAUAAGACAUGAGAAGCAGGAAUUGCUACAUUACCCUUUGAGCUGUUUUGCUAUUCAUAUAACUAAUCUGGGUCUACUAACCUCCUGUUCCCUCUCUAUCAUAUUUGGUUUCACAAGACCAGCCUUGGCCAUUUUAAAAUGGUGGAGAAACACAACCCUCGGAUAUGACUAUUUCCAAUAGUCUACAACACUGAACAAAAACUUAAUUUUACCCUCAAAUCCAAUUGAUCAGAAUCCUUUGGUGGUGUCCCAUAUUCUAGAUUGUCAGCCUUUCAGAGUUUAACUUGUCAAGCCACUUUAGAAUCUUGCACAGGUCAAUGAGAUCACAUUUCAUCCUUCCAAACUCCAAACAGCAAACGCACAAUCUGCUCUGUGAAGAGCAACACUUUAAUCGCAGGAAUCAAUCUCAUGAACCUUCACUAAACCUCCUCAAAGACCAUGUCCUCCUUUCAACUUGGAGAGCAAAUCAUCAUGUAAAUCUUCAGGUUCGGUCAAAAGGCCCAGCGCAAUUAGCAAAGCUUUCAUGUUUUUGUACAUCAAUACUCUUAUAAAGAAAGCCAAAUGUCAUUUGCUUCCUACUUGCUUUAUGUAUGUACAAGGAUAGUUUAGGUGCAGCAUGAGGUGAUCCUCCAAAAGUACUUUGAUGGGGUUGGAUAAUGGAACUUUGGCUUCAUUCUUAGUUGAAUAUGCUUGAUACUAAUUAAUAACUGCCUAAAGAAUAAACUGUUUUCUUCAUCA